ACUGCCCUGUAUUCGACUGUGGUGCUUAUUUAAGAACCAACACCUUUAAACAGGGAACCCGGGCUCUAAACGGCAAACACAUGCCUCGUUAGUGUGGAAGUGUGACCCGCUUAGGAGGGUACCCAUUAUACUGGACCAGGUUCAAGAAAGGCAUGUAACGGCGGAUACGGGGCUUUU
rnacentral:other from 1 species